rnacentral:lncRNA from 1 species
AAAUAAACUAGUAUCUCUUUCGCAUACAAAUAAUUGGUAAACGAGUUCGGCAACGUAGCGUUUUUGUAUUUUAAAAAAUGUACCAUCAAGGUCCAUUAAUUCGAUAAUAUAUUGGGAUUUGAUUCUGGCCUUAGUUUCGGUAAGAUAAUAUUGAGAAAUCAAAAUUCCAAUCUACCAUGGUUCCAUAAUAUGGCAUGAAACGUAAUAUGUCAAUUUGGUUACCGUUUAGUUCAACAAAUUAAUC